rnacentral:rRNA from 1 species
UACGAGUGCCUCAAGCGUUGUCCGGAAUCACUGGGCGUAAAGGGCGCGUAGGUGGCGAGCCAAGUCCAUGGUGAAAGCUCGAUGCUCAACAUCGAGUCGGCCACGGAUACUGGUGCGCUUGAGCACUGUAGAGGCUAAUGGAAUUCCGGGUGUAGCGGUGGAAUGCGUAGAGAUCCGGAAGAACACCGGUGGCGAAGGCGGUUAGCUGGGCAGUUGCUGACACUGAGGCGCGACAGCGUGGGGAGCAAACAGG